rnacentral:lncRNA from 1 species
ACCCUGUCCAUGAACUCAAUACCCAAGACGAGUGGAUAAUCGUCCAUGGUCACGAUCGAGAAGUUUAUGUGGCCGUGCCAAUUGCCUAAGUGAACCGGCACAUUGCGGGCAACUCCAAAGGUUUCUGUUGGUGCAGCAUUAACGCCCUUGAGCCAACCUCGGCUUGUCUCGUAUCGGAUGCCCAUCUCCUUAGCCUGCUGGAAAGUGAGGAAGUUGAUGUCGGCUCCCGUGUCAACUAAUGCCUUCACGGUAUGCUCCCCGAUCUUGGCCUCGGCAAACAACCUCCCUUUCUUCUCGUUCUUGGGCACCUCAACUUUCGCCUGAAUUGAGCUUAGAAGCCGCAUGGCCCCAAUCUUUGCUUCCUUCUUCUCGUGAUCCUCGAUUAAGGCCGAAAGCUUACUCUUUUUGGGGCAAUCCCUCGCAUAGUG